AGAGUUUGAUCAUGGCUCAGAUUGAACGCUGGCGGAAUGCUUUACACAUGCAAGUCGAACGGCAGCACGGGGGCAACCCUGGUGGCGAGUGGCGAACGGGUGAGUAAUACAUCGGAACGUGCCCAGUCGUGGGGGAUAACGUAGCGAAAGCUACGCUAAUACCGCAUACGAACUGAGGUUGAAAGCGGGGGAUCGCAAGACCUCGCGCGAUUGGAGCGGCCGAUGGCAGAUUAGGUAGUUGGUGGGGUAAAGGCCUACCAAGCCGACGAUCUGUAGCUGGUCUGAGAGGACGACCAGCCACACUGGGACUGAGACACGGCCCAGACUCCUACGGGAGGCAGCAGUGGGGAAUUUUGGACAAUGGGCGCAAGCCUGAUCCAGCCAUUCCGCGUGCAGGAUGAAGGCCCUCGGGUUGUAAACUGCUUUUGGACGGAACGAAAAGGCCUUUUCUAAUACAGGGGGCUCAUGACGGUACCGUCAGAAUAAGCACCGGCUAACUACGUGCCAGCAGCCGCGGUAAUACGUAGGGUGCAAGCGUUAAUCGGAAUUACUGGGCGUAAAGCGUGCGCAGGCGGUUGUGCAAGACCGAUGUGAAAUCCCCGGGCUUAACCUGGGAAUGGCAUUGGUGACUGCACGGCUAGAGUGUGUCAGAGGGGGGUAGAAUUCCACGUAGCAGUGAAAUGCGUAGAGAUGUGGAGGAAUACCGAUGGCGAAGGCAGCCCCCUGGGAUAACACUGACGCUCAUGCACGAAAGCGUGGGGAGCAAACAGGAUUAGAUACCCUAGUAGUCC
rnacentral:rRNA from 1 species